rnacentral:misc_RNA from 1 species
GUGGGAGCAAGGCUUGCCCGCGAUGAAGUCAGCACGGUUUUACUUUGGAACCGUGUCGCCUCUUUCGCGGGCAAGCCUUGCUCCCAC